rnacentral:rRNA from 1 species
UACGUAGGGUGCGAGCGUUGUCCGGAAUUACUGGGCGUAAAGAGCUCGUAGGUGGUUUGUCGCGUUGUUCGUGAAAACCGGGGGCUUAACCCUCGGCGUGCGGGCGAUACGGGCAGACUGGAGUACUGCAGGGGAGACUGGAAUUCCUGGUGUAGCGGUGGAAUGCGCAGAUAUCAGGAGGAACACCGGUGGCGAAGGCGGCUCGCUGGGCUCUACCUGACGCUGAGGCGCGAAAGCGUGGGGAGCGAACCGG